CUUCGGCGGGGGAUUAGUGGCGAACGGGUGAGUAACACGUGGGCAAUCUGCCCUUCACUCUGGGACAAGCCCUGGAAACGGGGUCUAAUACCGGAUACGACCACUUCGGGCAUCCGAUGGUGGUGGAAAGCUCCGGCGGUGAAGGAUGAGCCCGCGGCCUAUCAGCUUGUUGGUGGGGUAAUGGCCCACCAAGGCGACGACGGGUAGCCGGCCUGAGAGGGCGACCGGCCACACUGGGACUGAGACACGGCCCAGACUCCUACGGGAGGCAGCAGUGGGGAAUAUUGCACAAUGGGCGAAAGCCUGAUGCAGCGACGCCGCGUGAGGGAUGACGGCCUUCGGGUUGUAAACCUCUUUCAGCAGGGAAGAAGCGAAAGUGACGGUACCUGCAGAAGAAGCGCCGGCUAACUACGUGCCAGCAGCCGCGGUAAUACGUAGGGCGCAAGCGUUGUCCGGAAUUAUUGGGCGUAAAGAGCUCGUAGGCGGCUUGUCGCGUCGGAUGUGAAAGCCCGGGGCUUAACCCCGGGUCUGCAUUCGAUACGGGCAGGCUAGAGUGUGGUAGGGGAGAUCGGAAUUCCUGGUGUAGCGGUGAAAUGCGCAGAUAUCAGGAGGAACACCGGUGGCGAAGGCGGAUCUCUGGGCCAUUACUGACGCUGAGGAGCGAAAGCGUGGGGAGCGAACAGGAUUAGAUACCCUGGUAGUCCACGCCGUAAACGUUGGGAACUAGGUGUUGGCGACAUUCCACGUCGUCGGUGCCGCAGCUAACGCAUUAAGUUCCCCGCCUGGGGAGUACGGCCGCAAGGCUAAAACUCAGAGGAAUUGACGGGGGCCCGCACAAGCAGCGGAGCAUGUGGCUUAAUUCGACGCAACGCGAAGAACCUUACCAAGGCUUGACAUAUACCGGAAACG
rnacentral:rRNA from 1 species